rnacentral:rRNA from 1 species
CUGGCUCAGGAUGAACGCUAGCGGCAGGCUUAACACAUGCAAGUCGAGGGGCAUCGGGAGUAGCAAUACUUGCCGGCGACCGGCGCAAGGGUGCGUAACGCGUGAGCAACAUGCCCGUAUCAGGGGGAUAAUCCAUGGAAACGUGGUCUAAUACCCCAUAGUAAUUAUGUAAGGCAUCUUAUAUAAUUUAAAGCUUUGGUGGAUACGGAUUGGCUCGCGUGACAUUAGCUAGAUGGUAAGGUAACGGCUUACCAUGGCUACGAUGUCUAGGGGUUCUGAGAGGAAGGUCCCCCCACACUGGAACUGAGACACGGUCCAGACUCCUACGGGAGGCAGCAGUGAGGAAUAUUGGACAAUGGAUGGAAAUCUGAUCCAGCCAUGCCGCGUGCAGGAAAGACGGCCCUAUGGGUUGUAAACUGCUUUUGUAUGGGAGCAAUAAGGGCUACGCGUAGUCCGAUGAGAGUACCAUACGAAUAAGCACCGGCUAACUCCGUGCCAGCAGCUGC